rnacentral:rRNA from 1 species
GGGAUUACUCUUAUCUCCUAAGCUCUCCUCCUCGAGUUCGGGCGGGCUCGAAGAAGACGGCGGAGUCUGUGGUGCGCUGGGGCAACCGGCAGAGGGUUCAGCGGACGGCUGGAGGCGGAGGAGAGGAAUAAGAGGGCAGAGAGAAGAGGGCAUACACUGUAAAGAGAGGGCACGUCGAAGGUGGAGGGACGUCUAGGUGUUAAACAGCCGGCCUCCCUUGCCCCGUCUCGGAGGUCGUAGCGACCCUCGUUACCGGCUACGGGCCGCCGUGACUCCACCGCGUAGUGUCAUACUUCGUGGCGAGGGCUAGGCAUCCAAACACCCUCCGUGUAGGUACCACGAAUCACCGGGCCUCUCACUAAAAUUCAACGGCGGAGAAAAACAGGUCCCUAAACCCAAACUAAAGGCAGAUACCGAAGCUAGGUCCCUAAACCGAAGCCAGUCCUCUGAACCCAGUUUCCGUUCGGGUGGCUUCAGUCGAGGUUAGGUCAGAAGAUUCUUCCCCACACCCUUGAUCCCGAACGAGUUCCACGAUAGUAAAAAAAACGAAACUGGUACCACUCAAGCACAGAAACUUAUGAAACCAAGUUAAACUGUUACGUAUUAAGUUUUCUAACCAACUAGACAAAAGAAAGGAAAAAAUCUCUUUAACUAACAUACUUGGUCAGAGUCGCAGUUUAAUAUAAACAUACUUGGUACGUAGUUACAUAAAAAUCCUAGUAUCGGGUUCCGUGUUUUUGGUCAACGACAUUUACCAUAUUUAUGUCUUGUGACUCCAUGGAAACCUUUCCUUUAUUGUACUACUCGUAACUUGGACUGACACUCACUUAUUGGUGGUGGUGGAUUGAUUUUUUUCAUUACUAUAACUGUAGAUAUAAUGACUUUCAUGUCAUGUGUAUUCGAUAUAUAUGAAAGUCAAAACGAUAACCCUUUCCGAACAAUGUCAAGUCAUACGUGUUAUCAUGUACGAAAUUGGACAGUUUAUACAUAACAGUAUUUGUUUCUUUUUUACAUAAACUAAACGGUACCUUGACGAACUUUAGCUUCUAUACCUGCUAUCCCGUCGUGUGUUUAGUUUAAUCGUAGUGUAGAAUUUGACUACAUACAAUACUAGUCAGACUUUGAGCUGUGCUAUCCGACUUAUAUGUGUUACUUUGUAUCCAAAAUCACUCUAAGAGUCUAAGUGUGUCCUUUCAACGAACCUUGAAAUUGACCUUUUUUUAGUACGAUAAUAAAUCUGGGGAAACAUCACCUCGUAUACAUAUUACACUCUUCAUCUAUAUCCUAUUUGUAUAUCGAUCCUCAUAUUACUAAAACACGUGAGUGGUCUCAUUUAUAUAAACUUAUCGAGAUGAAGAUUGAGUCGAUUGGUUAGUUGUAGUAUACAAAUAAUCUUGACAGUUCUUGAGACUUCCAUAUAGGACAUCAUGAUUUUUCAAAAACGGUAAUCCUUAAAUCAGACGACGACACUUCAAGUUUCGUUAAAUCAAGUAAGAGGCUGAGGACGUAAGAAAAGUUAAACAACACGUCUUUUUCUCCUAAACUUUCAUUUUGAAGGUACCGUACGUCUUUGUCUCGUACACCAACCUAGUUGUUAUCUUGUUGGACGUUAUAUACGAACUAAAACAAACCUAAGUCUUUUAGACAUGCGACAGACAUUAAGUCUUUAACUAACGAAGUAAGUGAGUACGCGAUGACGAUAAAGUAUAUGCCCCCUAGCCCCUCCUCUCGUCGUCGGACGACGACGCUAAAACAAGGACGACGAAGAACCAAUGAUGAGGGAGACAACUAGUCCCUCAUGAUGUGUAGAUAUGUCUCUUGUGUUUCUUGUCUUCCGACCACGAACGACGAAAGUUCCCCUAUGUAUGGACUAUGGAGACAACACCGUCGUCGGGAGACGAAGACGAUGGGCAACCGCGGCGACGGAGGGCGAAGAUGGGAGACGACGACGACGAACAGUAACGAGGAACGGUGCUCGAGUUACCGCAUGUACAUCCUGGAGGGGACGGGCACGCAGGAGAGGCUGGGCACACGUAGGAGGAGCAAGGUCGCAUCGUUGUUGUCGAGGAGGUCCGGUGGGACGGAGAGAAGGAAGAGGGAAAGAUGAAGGAGGGGAGCAAGAAGAAGAAGAGAGAUUGUGUGUGGUUAAGUGAGAAAGAGACAAUGGAUGUCCUCCGGCUGCGGCUUGACGUUCGUCGACGGCGGACCUCCAAGAGACGGUGGCCUCGGGAGGAGGAGCGGGUGCAGCGGACGCAGGUAGGAGCAGCCUAGGCUACGACGUCCCUGAGGGACGCGGAGGCGGCGGAGCGGUUCAGGCAGACAACUUCGGCGAAGACAGGCGACUGACGAGCUAGGGGACGGAGCUGGUGCAGGCACACGCACGCGUUCCCUACGUUCCGGAUCGUUGCGAAGAGCCGCAGGUACACGCCACCGUCCAUCUCCAGCCGCGGCCGCUCGUCCGUCACCUCGCGUAGCUGCCUCGGUACCACCUCCAGUACCCGCGGCUCGACGAGGUGGGUGGAGCGCGGCUGAGCACCGACGACCGGCUGCUCGUGUCCCCUCGAGCCCAAGAACCCUUACCUCUGUGUGGAUAUCCCCAGGCCGCUACGACCUCCGCCUCCUCUCCCCGCCCGUGGAAGGCGUGGCUGCUCGAGCAGUUGCUCUCCUCGGAGGGGGAAAGGUGGAAGAGACGGCGACCUAUUCUACUUGUUUCCUUACGCCCGCUUUAACAAUGUUUUACGUCCCUAAUUAAACGUUUUUACUUAGCAAAACGAUCUAGGUGAAUGAAUCCCUGACGCCCAAGAUAAUAGAUUUUGGUAUCCCUGAAAAAACGUCUUGACAGCGCUGCUGCCUGCCGUCUUUGGC